rnacentral:lncRNA from 1 species
CAGCUUGAAUAUGACAUAUCAUAGCAACCAGCCGUUAUAAUUCCAUAUACAAUGAUAUAUUUGUCUGCCAGUCAAAAUAUUGCCAUGUAAAUACAAUAAAGCAUCAACAUCAUUAUCUGCAAGCCGUAAGACUGCUGUAUACUUAUUUGUAGGGUGAAACCAUAAAAUAUAAUGUAUUAUAUAACUGCAAUACCUUUAUAUAAUGUCUAAAAUAUGGUGGUUGUUUUAGGAAUACGUUUGUAAAAUU